GCGCCGGGGGAGCCUUUUGGAACACAGGCUGUUCUACCGUUCUACAAAUCACCCCAAUUCAACUCAUUCCGAUGGAUGGACUUUAUUAUCCGUUUCAAGCCAAAACCUAGGCAGACUCAGAAAUCGGUCUUAAUCAACUUGCAUGAUUUGUCUAGCUGCACACUACCUAAUUCGUAGCUGAGUACAUCCAACGUACCCACAGAGUCGAAAGUCUAGGUUCCUAUCUACGGAGUAUCUAGAUGACUAACGGUACAGAUGCAUCAACACGACAGUCAUGUACGGAGUAAUGCACCACCCAACGUUAGCCUGCCGAGGUAUGUAUGCAGGGCGUGCAGGUCGGGGUUGCGCAAGGUCAAAUCAUCAUCUGCCUUGAUCUUAACUGUGUCGCUGCAUAUUUAUGAUUAUGAAGGACCUCGUGAAAUAAACAAGUCGGCUGGUUUGUCGCUCACAAUGUGUCAAACUCAAAGCCUGAAACUUAGGCCCACUCCUGGUCUAAUCUAUCGGUCGAUACUUGAUACGUUCGCUGUCAACAAAGUUCCACGAUAAAGUAACUACCAACCAGAUAGAAGAAGCGCGCCUGAUUGGCCGCUCACAGAGCUAAGGAAGCCACGGAAACCUAGAAAAAGCCAACAGCGUAACGUGGUCAUGGCAUGACCCCUUUAAUUCCAGCACAAUCCCCGUCCUGAGCAGCCACUCGCCAGGGCCAUAUCUUUGUCCUGCAAGUCUCUGUUCUUGGCACUCGUACUACGUACUUUGGGUGACGGGCGAAUGUGGAUUGGGGUGGGUUAGGUUAGUCAGUGAGCCUUGAUGCCUCCGCCUCACUUUGAGGUCUGAUCACCUUGCCCUUGAUGACAGGUGCUUGGGCUGGGCUGGGUCGAUUCGAUCUGGUCGCCUGGGUGUUGAUUGGUUGUGGGCGGCAGCUGAUGAGGAUGCGCAGAUAUGGACCCCAUCUUGAUUUCUCUAUCAACACGAACUGAGGGCCUCAGUGAGCGCGACGACGAGGACCAUGGCUUGACUACGAGUAGAUGACUAGAUGUACGCCGUACAUGCAGGCAUCCAUCCCUGUUUGUUCUGUCAUCAGCAGGCUGAUUCUCAUUCCACUGUUCUCCUACGAUAGUGAAAUGGAUCGACACUAUUGUAGUAGAAGACGCGGAGAGUACGUCGAAGGUGGAUAAAUCAAGCCAGCACGGAUCAUUGGUUCUCCAAUACUCCGUGGUUGAUAAUCAAUAAUCGAUAAAUUGGAUAACUAUGCAACCCGGAACUUGCUUUUUUUUUACUGACCGCCGCUGCCCAAUCAGCAUUCCCUUCCAUGCAGAGUGUUCCGUGCUCGAGUGCAUUAAUGCCUCAGGCUGAUAGGCCUGAUGCCUGGCGACUGAUGGCCUGAUGCAGUCGAUGCAUCAUCGAUUUUGUGAGCAAUCCACUUGUGGCUCCACGAGCCCACAUAAAGUUAGAGGGAGUGCUUACCGCUCUUUUCUCAGGGACGAAUCUUGAUUGUUUUGAGUGGUGUGGAUGGAGUCUCGUGGAGAAACGGAUUAUUGGAUACAAUACGUACUAUAUGGAUAGAUCCAUUUUUCUCCAUGGGAUAGACUCGAACACCAACGUUCAUUCAUGUCCAAGUCUAAGGUAUGUGCUCAAGUCUUGCAUAUCACUGCAUCAUGGCAGGAAUAGCAGCAGCCAAUCAGCGCGCGCGAAACAAAGCACUUGCAGAAGCGAGUCACGGGUGGAGCCUUUCGAGAACAUUGUUGGACAUGCAAGGAGGGCCAGCGCGGCCUCUGAUUGGCGGCUGGCGGCCGGUCGGUGUGGUGUGUUAAGAUGGAACAGGCUGUGACGCGGCCAAUGCGCUUCUUUGACGUGCUUAUUGGCUGCGUCCGACUCUGCCUGCACCAAUGGCUCUCCUCCACGAGACACCUUGUGCGCUGUUCCACGCACCUGGCUUGUUGCCACGCUCGGCUCAUCAGAGAGUAUUACCAGUGCAGGGCGUGCACUACUCCUCCAAAGUGCGUGGCUGGAAGAGCCAGUGCCAUCGUGUGACCAGAUUGGUUUUUCCUUUUCUCCUUUUCAUGCGGCUGUCCGUUCGCAGUUACAGACGCAGGUCGCCACCCGCACUAGGCUCGACUCUCUACGGCCCUGCGACGAGUAAGACUCAGCAAGGCUAGUUAUGUAACUAACUAACUUAGCAAGUUGACUACGUUAGUUGGUUAGUUAGUUCCCUACGUACUCUGGUAAGUUGUUGUAACCAUCAGCCUGCUGCCUGGCUCAGGCUAGCGUGACGAAAAAUAAAUUUGCCUCCACCCGUCCUCCCGUCGGUUGCCGUAAUCGCGACGUCUGCCUGUCUCGAAGAAGAAAAGUGUUGAAUCUCCUGACUCUCAGAGUUUUGCUUUUGCCUAGGUAGCUUUGCCUGCCGAACCCAGCCGUGCCAGCCCACCCCGAUCCAUUGGAUUCCUAUGUAGUAACUCUGUACAAACUACAUGCUACGAGUAGUAGUAGCAUGCACUCUCACUUAACUUGCUCACGGUAGUAGUAACUAUGUCGUAUGUCGCAUUCUGGUCUGGACUGCAUCGACCUGAAGGCUGAUCCUGAUUCCGAUCGUGUCGGGUGAGACAGACGAUAAUUAUAGACCGAGCAUACAGAGCAUAGCAUACAUAGAUAGCAUUACUACGUAGUAUUCCGGCUUACGGAGAGCGCCGGUCGACGAUUGCUCGCAUUACAUAAUGCCCCAGAGCAGAAUCUGCGGAUAGUUACCCUCCGGACGGCGGCGCAUUCUCAUUUCUGGCGCGCUUUUCUUGGGAGGCACCCCUUUUCUCUCGUGAGGACGAUCGCUCGUGGCACUGCCAGAACGGAACCGGGACUAGUCAGUUUAGUUGGUCGGUCUGUGAGUCUAUGACUGCACCUCGAUUAAAAACAGAAACGGGGCAGGGAAUCGCCCCUCUGCCCACUAUCCAGUGUCCACCACUAUGGGCAGCAAAAGCUCGAAGUGGGCCUGCGAGUCACCAUUCGCAGUCAAAGUGGUACGGUACAACCACGACAGGCUUAGCGAUCCUCUCCGACGAGGCCAGAGCU
rnacentral:lncRNA from 1 species